UGUGCCAGCAGCCGCGGUAAUACGAAGGGGGCUAGCGUUGCUCGGAAUGACUGGGCGUAAAGGGCGCGUAGGCGGUACAUCAAGUCAGGGGUGAAAGCCCGGAGCUCAACUCCGGAACUGCCCUUGAAACUAGUGUGCUAGAAUCUUGGAGAGGCGGGUGGAAUUCCGAGUGUAGAGGUGAAAUUCGUAGAUAUUCGGAAGAACACCAGUGGCGAAGGCGGCCCGCUGGACAAGUAUUGACGCUGAGGUGCGAAAGCAUGGGGAGCAAACAGGAUUA
rnacentral:rRNA from 1 species